AUUCCAUGAUGAGGGCACUUCUUUAAUAAUUCUUUGUACCUUUCCCAUGCACCAUACAAGGACUCGUCAUCCAUUUUUUGGAAAGCAGUGAUCUCGUUCCUCAACUU
rfam:Gossypium arboreum cultivar AKA8401 contig_58043_3, whole genome shotgun sequence.